GAGGGUAUAGCUCAGUGGUACAGCACAUGCUUAGCAUGCAAGUCCUGGGUUCAACCCCCAGUAUCUCCA
rnacentral:tRNA from 1 species